rnacentral:rRNA from 1 species
GGAUUAGAUACCCUGGUAGUCCACACCGUAAACGCUGUCUACUAGCUGUUUGUGUAUUAUAUACGUGAGUAGCGAAGCUAACGCGCUAAGUAGACCGCCUGGGGAGUACGGCCGCAAGGUUAAAACUCAAAUGAAUUGACGGGGGCCCGCACAAGCGGUGGAGCAUGUGGUUUAAUUCGACUAUACGCGAAGAACCUUACCUGGACUUGACAUAGUAAGAAUAUUUAAGAGAUUAGAUAGUGUCUGCUUGCAGAAACUUGCAUACAGGUGCUGCACGGCUGUCGUCAGCUCGUGCUG